AAACUUAAAUGAAUUGACGGGGACCCGCACAAGCAGCGGAGCGUGUGGUUUAAUUCGAUGGUACACGAAGAACCUUACCCAGGUUUGACAUACUAGUGGUAGUGAACUGAAAGGGGAACGACCCGCAAGGGAGCUAGUACAGGUGUUGCAUGGCUGUCGUCAGCUCGUGUCGUGAGAUGUUGGUUUAAGUACCCUAACGAGCGCAACCCUUAUUGCCAGUUACACGUAUCUGGCGAGACUGCCGGCCACAAGCCGGAGGAAGGCGAGGAUGACGUCAAGUCAGCAUGGCCUUUAUAUCUGGGGCUACACACACGCUACAAUGGGCGUAACAAUGGGAUGCCAAGCCGUGAGGCGGAGCCAAUCCCCAAAUACGUCCUCAGUUCAGAUUGCAGGCUGCAACCCGCCUGCAUGAAGUCGGAGUUGCUAGUAAACGCGCGUCAGCUAUAGUGCGUUGAAUACGUUCCCGGGUCUUGUACACACCGCCCGUCACACUAUGGGAGCUGGUAAUACCUGAAGCCGGUAGCCUAACCGCAAGGAAGGCGCCGUCAAAGGUAGGGCUGGUGACUGGAGUGAAGUCGUAACAAGGUAGCUGUACGGGAACGUGCGGCUGGAUCACCUCCUUUAUG
rnacentral:rRNA from 1 species